UACGGGGGGAGCAAGCGUUGUUCGGAUUUACUGGGCGUAAAGGGCGCGUAGGCGGUCAGCACAAGUCAGUUGUGAAAUCUCCGGGCUUAACUCGGAAAGGUCAACUGAUACUGUGCGACUAGAGUGCAGAAGGGGCAACUGGAAUUCUCGGUGUAGCGGUGAAAUGCGUAGAUAUCGAGAGGAACACCUGCGGCGAAAGCGGCUUCCUGGUCCAGCACCGACGUUCAGGCACGAAAGCGUGGGGAGCAAACAGGG
rnacentral:rRNA from 1 species